rnacentral:rRNA from 1 species
UUGGAGGGCAAGUCUGGUGCCAGCAGCCGCGGUAAUUCCAGCUCCAAUAGCGUAUAUUAAAGUUGUUGCAGUUAAAAAGCUCGUAGUUGAACUUCGGGAUUUGUCCAUUGGUCAGGCUUAACUGUCUGUACUGGUGAGUCGAAUUCCUACCUUCUGAGGAACUUCUACGCCAUUCACUUGGUGUGGUGGGGAAUCAGGACUGUUACUUUGAAAAAAUUAGAGUGUUUAAAGCAGGCUAACGUCUGAAUACAUUAGCAUGGAAUAAUAGAAUAGGACGGUUUGGUUCUAUUUUGUUGGUUUCUAGGAUCACCGUAAUGAUUAAUAGGGAUAGUUGGGGGCAUUAGUAUUCAAUUGUCAGAGGUGAAAUUCUUGGAUUUAUUGAAGACUAACUACUGCGAAAGCAUUUGCCAAGGAUGUUUUCAUUAAUCAAGAACGAAAGUUAGGGGAUCGAAGACGAUCAGAUACCGUCGUAGUCUUAACCAUAAACUAUGCCGACUAGGGAUCGGAUGAUGUUAAUUUUUUAAUGACUCAUUCGGCGCCUUACGGGAAACAAUCACUAGUG